AAGCGUGCUUGGGCGAGAGUAGUACUAGGAUGGGUGACCUCCUGGGAAGUCCUCGUGUUGCACUCC
rnacentral:rRNA from 1 species